ACGGAGGGUGCAAGCGUUAAUAGGAAUUACUGGGCGUAAAGCGUACGCAGGCGGUUUGUUAAGUCAGAUGUGAAAUCCCCGGGCUCAACCUGGGAACUGCAUCUGAUAAUGGCAAGCUUGAGUCUCGUAGAGGGGGGUAGAAGUCCAGGUGUAGCGGUGAAAUGCGUAGACAUCUGGAGGAAUGCCAGUGGCGAAGGCGGCCCCCUGGACGAAGACUGACGCUCAGGUGCGAAAGCGUGGGGAGCUAACAG
rnacentral:rRNA from 1 species